ensembl:lncRNA
CUGAGCUUUCUGUAACAACUUCUGACAUACAUCAAAGAAAUGAUUGCUGUUUGUAACACAACUGCAGUCCAUCCAGUUCUGCUUUCUGCCACCAGGAUCCAGCCUUUCAGAAAUGUGGUUAUUCAGAUCUGCUUUUUGGAUGAUGUUAUCUCUGGAAGAAAUUGUUGACAAGUUGCGUCACAGCUAAAUUGAAACUGAGGAACUCACAGUGGAAGAAUUGCAGGCCACAGUAGCAGUUCUGUUGAUGAUGGUGAAGAGCCAUAGCUCAUAUUCCCUCAGUUAUGUUGGUGCAGCAAGAAUAACAAGUAACUU